AUGAGACAGAGCAGCAUCAAUGGGCUCCACAAAGUCAUUGAUGACACCAAUAUCAGUGGCUGAAGCUGCAGACAGAGAUAAAAGCCCUCAAGGAGGAGCUGCUCUUCAUGAAGAAGAACCAUGAGGAAGAAGUAAAAGGCCUACAAGCCCAGAUUGCCAGUUCUGGGUUGACCAUGGAGGUAGAUGCCCCCAAAUCUCAGGACCUCAGCAGGAUCAUAGCAGACAUCUGGGCCCAGUAUGACAAGCUGGCUCAUAAGAACCGAGAGGAGCUGGACAAGUACUGGUCCCAGCAGAUCGAGGAGAGCACCACAAUGUUCACCAUGCAGUCCUCCGAGAUCAGAGUUGCAGAGAUGACAUCCACAGAGCUGAGACGUACAGUACAGUCCUUGGAGAUCAACCUGAACUUGAUAAGAAACCUGAAGGCCAGCUUGGAGAACAGCUUGAGGGAGGUGAAGGCCCACUAGCCCAUGUAGAUGGAGCAGCUCAUCAACAGGGCCUUGCUGCACCUGGAGUCCGAAUCGGUACUGAUCCAGGCAGAGGCCCUGCUGAACAUCAAGGCCAAGCUGGAGGCUGAGAUCACCACCUACCACUGCCUGCUGGAGAGGACUUCAGUAUCAAUAAUGCCCUGGACAACAGCAGCUCCAUUCAGACCAUCCAAAAGACCACCACUCACAGGACAGUGGACAGCAAAGUGGUGUCUGAGACCAAUGACACCAAAGUUCUGAGGCACUGAGGUGGCAGGAACAGGGUACCCUUUGGGGGAGCAGGAGGCCAAUAAAAAGUUCAAAGGACAAAAAAA